AAACCAUGGUAUGGACACUUGCAUAACAUUAAUUUGAAGCACUCCCAAGCCUCGUAUAAUGACUCUCUUUCCAAUUGUCAAAAAUUUGUAAUGUCCAUCCGAAGUUU
rfam:Gossypium arboreum cultivar AKA8401 contig_39783_5, whole genome shotgun sequence.